rnacentral:rRNA from 1 species
GACAUAGGUGGCGAACGUUAUCCGGAUUUAUUGGGCGUAAAGGGCGCGUAGGCGGGCUGCCAAGUUCGGGGUGAAAUCCUCCGGCUCAACCGGAGAACGGCCUCGAAUACUGGCGGUCUCGAGGGGGGUAGGGGCAUGCGGAACUAUGGGUGGAGCGGUGAAAUGCGUUGAUAUCCAUAGGAACUCCGGUGGCGAAAGCGGCGUGCUGGACCCUUUCUGACGCUGAGGCGCGAAAGCCAGGGGAGCAAACGGG